UACGUAGGGGGCUAGCGUUGUCCGGAAUCAUUGGGCGUAAAGAGCUCGUAGGCGGUGUGUCGCGUCGGCCGUGAAAACCUGCAGCUUAACUGUGGGCUUGCGGUCGAUACGGGCAUCACUGGAGUUCGGCAGGGGAGACUGGAAUUCCUGGUGUAGCGGUGAAAUGCGCAGAUAUCAGGAGGAACACCGGUGGCGAAGGCGGCAUCCUGGACCAACACUGACGCUGAGGAGCGAAAGCCAGGGGAGCAAACGGG
rnacentral:rRNA from 1 species